rnacentral:rRNA from 1 species
UACGUAGGGCGCAAGCGUUGUCCGGAAUUAUUGGGCGUAAAGAGCUCGUAGGCGGCUUGUCACGUCGGGUGUGAAAGCCCCGGGGCUUAACCCCGGGUCUGCAUUCGAUACGGGCUGGCUAGAGUGUGGUAGGGGGAGGUCGGAAUUCCUGGUGUAGCGGUGAAAUGACGCAGAUAUCAGGAGGAACACCGGUGGCGAAGGCGGAUCUCUGGGCCAUUACUGACGCUGAGGAGCGAAAGCGUGGGGAGCGAACAGG